rnacentral:rRNA from 1 species
UACAGAGGUCCCAAGCGUUGUUCGGAUUCAUUGGGCGUAAAGGGCGCGUAGGCGGUUUGUACAGUCAGGUGUGAAAUUCCCGGGCUCAACCUGGGGGCUGCACUUGAUACGUAUGGACUGGAGUGGGGAAGAGGGUCGUGGAAUUCCCAGUGUAGAGGUGAAAUUCGUAGAUAUUGGGAAGAACACCGGUGGCGAAGGCGGCGACCUGGUCCUUGACUGACGCUGAGGCGCGAAAGCGUGGGGAGCAAACAGG